AAAAGGAAAAUGGCGAAGACAGUUAAGAAAUGAGCAAGGUGUAAAAGGUGUCAGUUGAUUUUGAACUAUUAAAAUAAAGAAGAUUUUAGAAUAGAAGAAUAAAACAACAGUGGAAUAAUUUUAUUUUAUGUGCCAAGCUCCCAAAUCUACAUUUAUAUACUCAAUGACUUAAAAUAUACUUUCGAAAAACUUCCAUAUCGAAGAAACGAGAAAUUGUGUUUAAAAACCUCUAACAAAUACAGAUGUGUUCACGUGAUUCCUAGUGGCAGAACGUUGGAGUCCGCAACUGAAUAAUGACUGAAAAGGGAAUUCCCAAACAAUUUGCACAUUGUACAAGAAGUAGCUUUUACUAGAUUGAAAUUUUGGGUUCGUUGUUCAAUUUGAAACGAUUUCACUGAUAAAUAAUGAUUUGCAUAUUUUAUUUAUUUAUAUAAUAUUUUUUCUUCUGUUACCUUUUCAUUAAAUAAUGGCUCGAAUUUUGUUCGUCAAUAUAUGUUUUUCCUCGAAUCAACGCCAAAGGCAAUCUUUGAAUGGUAUUAUUAUCCCACUUGAGUGUGAUUAAGUCGAAGGUGAAUGGAAAAUGAUAAAGUUAAAUGAAAAAAUGUGUAAAUAUAAAACAAUUUUUGUUUACGACUUUAUUCGUGUAAUCUUCUCGUAUUUUUUUAAGAACACGGAAGCAUAUACAUAUGUAUUCAUAAUAUUUUAAUUUUUUGUUUUCCAUUGCGUUUGCGGCAUAUCGGCUUUAUCAUUGUUUUAUGAUGCGUUUUAGAAUUUAACUUUAUACACGUUCUCAGAAUGAUUGCACUGUGAAUAUUUCAAAAGAGAAUGUAAUUUUAUGGAAACUCACAAAAUAUCAGUAACAAGGCUCUUUCCCAAAGCCCUUUCAUUGAAACAAUGGAAUACUGUAUAUGUAUUAUGAAGUAACAUAUCGCAUUGUUUGCCUUUAUUAUGUUGCCUUAUUAAUAUCAAAGAAGAUUUUUUAUCAAUGAAUGAAAACAAAACAAAACGUGUUAUAGCAUAUUCAAAGGCUACUUCGUGUUCCAAAAGUAGUUUACAGUAAAAACCUUUUAUUAUGCUUUUUCUUAUGUUCUUAUUCUUUUUUAUGUUCUCUGAAAGAUUUAUUGGCCGCAACGUUAAAACUUACUCUCUUGUUAUGAAUGUUUGAAUGCCAGUGCGCGAUUCGGCUUACAUGAAUGCAAUUUUUCAUUGAAAAUAUCAUUGUAACUGUGCCUGCUAUUUAAAAUUUUCUCAUUCUUUUAAAAAGAGGUCCGAGUAAACGCAAAGCUUUCUAUUAUAAUAUCUAAAAUAAUGUUCAUUAUAAUUCGAAAUUAAUCUUAAUUAUUUUAAUACGAGCAUUAAAUAAAAUCUAUUCUAUUGAA